rnacentral:ncRNA from 1 species
CGGGAAACCCGUUGAACCCCGGUCGUGCUAGGGAUAGGGAAUUGCAAUUAUUUCCCUUGAACGAGGAAUUCCCAGUAAGCGCGAGUCAUUAGCUCGCGUUGAUUACGUCCCUGCCCUUUGUACACACCGCCCGUCGCUACUACCGAUUGAAUGGUUUAGUGAGGUCCUCCGAUUGGACCCGGUCCGGGCGGCGACGUCCGAGCCGGCGUCCGAGAAGACGAUCUAACUUGAUCAUUUAGAGGAAGUAAAAGUCGUAACAAGGUUUCCGUAGGUGAACCUGCGGAAGGAUCAUUA